GAGAACGUUGGUGGCUUACAUAGGCGCGAAAACAGUGAAGAGAAGACGCGGAGAGUUUCUCGGUUAAAGUUUCAUUUUAAUGUCGGCUUUUGAAUUUGGGAAACAUGUUUUUCAUAUACUCUUCGUGGUAAACGAGUUAAAUGUCACAUAAAUUGUUUACGUAAGGUUAACUUAGUUGCUGUCUGGCUUGUUUGGCAAAUGAACGUCGGAGCCGUCGCACUCAACAUUUCUCUGCAUAUCGUCACACAUCUUCCUCGUGGAGUUUUCUGCCAAAUGAGGACGUGAUUGCUGCUGUACUGUGAAUCUCAAGCACACCUGCAUUCUUAUCAUGGGCGAUGGGCAGUUCAAGAUUGAUGUCGUUCAAGAAGUUAAUGACCACUGUUGAGGUUGUGAGCUACAAAUACCCAGAGGAGGCAGCGCUUACAUUGGAAUUCCUACAGAAGUAAGCAACACGUAUGUUAUGAAAUGUCUAUCUGUUUAUUUAAUUGAAAAUAAUGAAGUAUAUUGUAAGACACAGAUGAUCUGAUAAGCUCGUAUGACAGAUGUAAAUGGAGACCAUUGGAAAUGUAAGUUAAGCAAUUUAUAAACAAAUAUUUUAAUUGGCAAGUACUAGGGUUAACAGUUAAUUUAAUGAACUUAAAAUACUGUAUGAUUGAUUUUCCAUCUCCAACCUGCAUGUUACUCUGUAGUUCAGUUUCAUUCAUUUCAUUUUUAUCAUUAUCCAUUUCUUUUAGAGUUUUCCUGUGAAGAAAUCCUAAAUGAGGGUUGAGAUGAAGGCAACCAGGUGAUGGGCAGUUCAAGAUUGCUGUCGUUUGAGAAGUUAAUGAACAAAUCUUCUUUCCUGUUGCGGUUGUGAGCUACAAAAUACCCAGAGGAGGCGGCACUUACUCUGGAGUUCAUACAGAAAAUUUUCCUGUGAAGAAAUCCUGAACGUGGUUUGAGAUGAAGGCAGCCAAGUGGCUAUGCAUUCCUCCAAGACUCUUGCAUGAACAAUUUCAAAAAUCCAUGUAAUAUUUGAGUUUUUAAAUUGAAAAAAAUGGCACUUGCAUUAAACAUUCAGUUAAAUGGUAAAGAAUAC